GUACUUUCCCAUUAGCACAACAGCUAAAACUGGAACAAAGCAGGGAAGAUUAACAUGGCCACUUUAUAAAAAUAAUAUGCAAAUCUAUAAGGUAUUCUCUGUAGUA
rnacentral:snRNA from 1 species